UAAUAUCAAAUACAUUUAUAAAAUACAAAACAUCCGAGGACCGCGAGUUAAAAUCUAGUUUGGAGCUAGGAGAUGCUCUUAGUGUAAUAUUUUUUUCUAAUUAUUCUAUUUUGCCAAUUGCUUAGCGGUCUUAUUUUAUUGUUAGCGUGAGUCAAAAUAUUCAUUGAGAGAGUGGAGAAUCAUUUCAGAUCUAGGAACAUACAGUCAUACAGAUCUCUUCCUGCGGAAGGGUGACGGUAGGAGACUUUCUUGGUGACUUGAAGAGGAGCCAAUAUGCCAGAGGAACUUCUGUCGUUUGCAGUACAAAAGCUUUGGGACCUACUAAGCCAAGAAUUUUUUUUUUGUCAAGGAAAAAGUUGUUUUCACCUCUUUACCGGGAACCCAAGCACUAUAAAUAGUCUCUCUCUGCACGAAUCGAAUCCGGGUGGCGGAAGUUACAGCCGCAACCCCCUUUACAACUGGGCCAACUCGACGUUGGUCCUACUAAGCCAAGAAUACGAACAAUUUAAAGGAGUUAAAGGUCAAGUAACUUCACUAAAAAGCGAUCUAAACUUGUUGAAGUCAUUUUUGAAAGAUGCAAACGCUAAGAAACAGACAAGUGAAGUGGUGAAAAACUGUGUGGACAUGAUCAAGGAAAUUAUUUAUGAUGCGAAAGAUAUAAUAGAAACGUUUAUUAUAAAAGACGAACUCGGAAAAGAUGGUGGCAUCAAGAAGCGUAUCAGAAGACUUGCUUGCAUUAUUCCAGAACGCAGGGAAAUCAUAUUAGAAUUGAAAGCUUAAGUAAGAGGAUAUCCAAGGUGAUAUGUGAUAUGGAAAAGUUUGGAGUACAAAAGAUUAUUGCCGAUGUGAGGGAUCCACAACCUUCUCAACAAAGAGUAGAAUUUGCUAGAAAGUACGAAAGCAAUCUUGUGGGGCUGGAAGAAAAUGUUGAGAAAUUGGUUGGAGAUUUGGUGGGAGAAGAAGAUGUUCAAGUUGUUUCUAUGACCUGGAUGGGUGGCCUUGGGAAAACAACCCUUGCUAGACAAGCUUUUAAUCACGACAAGGUUAAAAGUAAGUUUGAUAGACUUGUAUGGGUGUGUGUUACACAACUUUGUGACCCGAUGAUUGUGUGGCAAGCAAUCUUUCGGACUCUAAGACCCAAUGAAGAAGAAAACAAAAUCUUGGGGAUGACAAAAGCUACACUUCAGGACCAACUCUUUCAGUUGUUGGAAACAUUUAAAUCAUUAAUUGUCUUUGAUGAUAUAUGGAAAGAAGAAGAUUGGAAACUAAUCAAGCCAAUAUUUCCACACAAUAAAGGUUCGAAGGUGCUACUCACUUCUCGAAAUGAAAGAGUCGCAGCACGUGGAGAAACAUAUAUCAACUUUAGACCAGACUUCCUAUCUGAUGAAGAUAGCUGGACACUUUUCCAAAGAAUAGAGCGAUGGCUAGUAAAGUUACAUCUGGUAAGCAUUCAAAUGUGUUUGGGAUGAUCGCAAGACAAUCUUCUUAGACCUUACUUGAACAGAAACUGUAUAUAUGUCUCAUGGUAUAAUUGAUGUAGUAUAUAGAGAAAUUCUCUACAAUGACUCUAAAAAACCCUUUUAUAACAGACUAGGGGGUUUUCCGGGCUUCGCCCGGAUUUUUUCCUAUAAUAUUAGUUUAAUUUUUAUAUUUAUAUUUUAAAAACGAACAAAUAUGAUAUUCACUGAAACUUGUUAUAGAAUUAUAAACAUAAAUGCAAAUUUAAAACUAUUUGAAAUAAUCUGUUGUGUUUUAUUGAAGUUUUAUGUAGGAUAUUAGUAAGAUUAAUAAAAAGUUAUCUAAAUUAUAAGUUAAGAUCUAUAUAUAUUCUUUAUAUUGGUUAUUUAUUUUUAUUUAAAACAAUUGUAAAGCUUAUAAUUAGUACUGUAUAAAUUUUGAUUGGUUUUAAAAUUAUUAAGUUUCAUUUUUGUACUUGUCUUUAAAAGAAAGUACCACCGACUUGUAUAUCGAUUCUUUAUUUGUUGUCUUCAAUUUAUCGUUUUAACCAAAAUAAUUUUGUCAACCUUUUUAACCAAAAUUUAAAUUUAACAUUUAUUGUUGCUAUUUAAUUUCUGUGUUUUUUUUAAAGUUUGUUUGUGAUAGAAAGAAAAUUUUGCUUCAAUAUUUGAAAUAUUAUUAGUUAUAAAUUUAUAGAAGGUUUACUUUCUUACCGUUGUUGAUGGAAUAUUAAUUUUACAGUUUCUUAUUUUAAUUAUUUAAUUAAUCAGAUUUUUUGGAAAUAAUUUUGAAUAUUAAUACUAUUAUUUGAUGUUCUAGCUUUUUUAUGUUUGCUGGGUAGUGUUUGUGUGCUCAGUCAUCCCUUUAUGCAAGGCUGAGAUACUUGCUCAAACAUGGUCUUGAAUGACCUCUCGAAAACAGGUAUUAGUGAGGACUUCAAACCCAAUUUAAAAGCUUUCUAAAAUUUAUAAAUGGUAGAUAUAUACAAAAAUUAUCACUGUCUGAGGUCUGGAAUUAGGUUUCUAAUCAAAAAUUCUGAAGAACUCUUAACUUAAAUCUGAUUAAACACAUUGCAUAGACGUUUUGUGUGUUUCUGAAAAUAAUUUAUAUACAAAAACGGUUUAAGAAUUCUAACUCCUACGAUUUGAUCUUGCCCUACAAUCUGAGUUGCAAACCUACAAACUGCAUUAUUAUUAUUCUCGCAUUUGCCUCACUUCUUCUGCCGGGGACGUUGUUGUUGUAUUGGCUAAUUUUGUGUACAUGAUGUUGGUUCACUUACGCACACUGCGAGGAUGUUGUUGCUUUAUAUUAAGGAUGAGGAGAUGGUGUGUUCUGAAUUGGUCUUUUGCAUGUGAAUAUUUGAAAUUUUUAAGGAUUUAUGGUGGGGUAUUGAGUUGUAGUAAAUUUGUAUGUUAGAUUUUCUUUGAGGCUUUA